UUUUUUUUUUUUUUUAAACUCUGCUUAAGCAAUUGCUAGUGUCCAAUCUUUUUUUUUUUUUUUGUCUUUCUGCUAUUUCUUUGGGCCGCUCCUGCGGCAUAUCGAGUUCCCUCUGUGGCUUAGCAGAAAUAAGCCUAACUGAUAUCCAUGAGGAUGCAGGUUUGAUCCCUCACCUCACUCAGGGGUUAAGGAUCUGGUGUUACUGUGGCUGUGGCAUAGGACUGCAGCUGUGGCUGUGAUUUGACCCCUAGCCUAGGAACUUCCAUAUGCUGCACCCGUGGCCCUAAAAAAAAAAAAAAGAAAGAAAGAAAGAAAAGAAAAAAGAAAGAUAAAAUAGUUAUGGGAAUUAAAAUAUUACAUGUUAGUAAUACGGCACUUUCAAUCUAAAGUAGUUAAGUAACAAAACUGAAAUAAUAACCAGUUAUAAAACCAGGCGAACUAAAAUAAGUGAUAAAAUGUUCUGCUGCUAUUAUAAAAUAUAAUCCCAGUGUGAUCAUUUAAUACAUGCUUUUUCAGUCACAUUCUUAUGCCGUUCUUAAAGCAACAAAGAUUAGAAAAAAUUCUUAAAAUUCCGGGGACCACAAAUAAUGGGUACAAAACUCACUUUAUCACUCAACAUUUUCUUCUAUUAGGAAAUAAACACUGUUUAAAUCUAUGGUUAAAGAAAGAUGUUAACAAAUAACAUUCUGGAGUUCCCGUUUUGACUUAGCAGGUUAAGGACCCAGUGUUGACUAUGUGAGGAUACAAAUUUGAUCCCUGGCCUCACUCAGUGGGUUAAGGAUUAGGUGCUGCUGCAAGCCGCAGCAUGGGUCACAGAUGCAUCUUGGAUCUGGCAUUGCUAUGGCUGUGGUGUAGGCCAGCACCUGCAGCUCUGAUUUGACCUCUGUCCCAGGAACUUCCAUACGCCACAGGUGCAGCCUUAGAAAAAAAAAUUAAAUAAAUAAAAAUAACAUUUUGAAAUAAGGAACAUUUCUGGUGAUUUUACUGAGAUAGUUAUGUCUUCCCCAAGUUUACUUUUAAAGUAAAGGUAUACAACAGCAAACAGCUACACUUGAAGUUCACCAACUGAAGUAACAGUCCCUUAUGGCUCUGCGUUGGCUGUGCCCCAGCUGAAAAGCCAGCCUUAAGGUAAAGGCAAAAAAAAAAAACCUUAGGUAUACUCUUGGCAGUAAUGAAGGAGUGCACCUCAAAUAUCAAAAAGAAGAUAAGGAAAUGAGAAUAUAAACAGGCCUAAAAUUCCUGACAUUUGGAGCUGCCAAGGGAACACACAAGGUAAGAUCACGCUCUCCCAUCCACUGCCACACUGUACACACACUGCAGCUCUGCAGCUACCCAGUCUGCAGUGCUAUUCCAAACAAUGCUUCAGCUUUUCUAACCACUUAGUGCAACACAAAUGUUCUUUAAAGACUGGUCUUUGUAAUGUCUAUGCAAAACCACUCAACACAGUAGCAAUGGGAUCAAGAACUCCAAGAAGUGAAAAAAAAAAAUAUUUCUUGAUUACCUAUACUAAGGAAAGGAGAGUUGCCUCCUAUGUAAGACAGACCCUCAACAUAUAUUUAAAUUUUAUCAUGUUAAUGAAUCCUCAUAAAGAGGCCCUCCAGCACUCUGUUACCCAACACAUAUUUACAUCACCUUUCAGUUAUCCACACUCUUUACUAAUAAUCUGCUUAGCUCGAAAAGACUGAGGUUGCUUAAAAAACUUUAUGUAAUACGAAAGUACAAAAUGAAGAGAUGAUUGGAAGGUGGGAAAAAAGGAUUAAGAAAAUAAAAUGCAACCAGAGUUGAUGAUUCUACACAAAAUGCAGUUAAUUCCUAAAGUUGAAGAAUAAAUAAGGCUAUUAGUUUCAGGGCAACGAAAGUAAAGAGGGGGGAAUUAUCGAUUUUAAGAUUUGCAGAGGCCACAGACAUCGGCAGUUUCUGCCAACAGUACCAUCAUUUUCCUGGUCUGGUUCUUUAAGUAUUUUAUGUUUUAUCUCUCAAUUAGUUGUAACCAGAUCUUCGGGAUUAGGAACUACAUCUGGGUAUCUUCUUGCAGCCUACACUUGUUCUACCACGGAUCUACUAUUAAGCCCUCAAUAAAUACUGAGGUAUAGGAGAACAUGACCUAGACUGAGGCUAACAGGGAAAAACAAUUUGGCAUUAAAAGUGCUGACAUCUGCAGACACCAAGUAAAGAACUGUCAAAUGUAAAGAAAUCCUUUACCUGGAAAGUGCCAGUAAUAGUAAUGUAACGCUGACACACACACACACACGCACACACACACACAGAGUGUUGUAGAAAUCACUAUACUCAAAAAAACUACUUUUCAAAAUGUUCCAACUUAAAUAUUGUUUCAUGAAAUUCAGAAAUAUAAAUCAAACAAGCACAAAUGAUAUUUCAGAUUGCCUUGCUAGAAAUGUAACUUCUAAUGUAUUUUUCUAUCUAGUCACACAUGU
rnacentral:lncRNA from 1 species